AAUUAACGCUGGCGGCAUGCCUAACACAUGCAAGUCGCACGAGAAAGCCCCUUUCGGGGGCGAGUACAGUGGCGCACGGGUGAGUAACGCGUGGAUAAUCUACCUCUAUCUGGGGGAUAACCCACCGAAAGGUGGGCUAAUACCGCAUAACCCGGUUGAUUUCUGGAUUGAUCGGUAAAGGUGGCCUCUUCAUGAAAGCUACCGGGAAGAGACGAGUCCGCGUCCCAUUAGCUAGUUGGUAGGGUAAAGGCCUACCAAGGCGACGAUGGGUAGCUGGUCUGAGAGGACGAUCAGCCACACUGGAACUGGAACACGGUCCAGACUCCUACGGGUGGCAG
rnacentral:rRNA from 1 species